CUUGCUUCCACACUACUAUCUACACGUGACUCAACACUACUUGUCGUUAGUGUCCAAUGUCCAGUAUGUAACCCAACAAGUACGAACGAAAACGAAAAAGUCCGCUACAUCCACCCAACGCGCGUUUCUACGCGUGGAGUGGUGCCGGUGUGAAGAAUGUUCCUACAGGGUCCAAGGAGAAGUCCGACGAUUAAGUAUCAGAAGGUGUACCGUAAUGCUGCGUGAG
rnacentral:misc_RNA from 1 species